rnacentral:lncRNA from 1 species
GAAAUUUUUCGAUGCGUUCGAGAAGGCAAUGAUAAGAAUGAGUAGUCUUUCACCUUUAACAGGGAAACAAGGAGAAAUUAGAUUGAACUGUAGAGUGGUGAAUUCGAAAUCGAGAAUCAUGGAUGUGGUAGAAGAUGCUAUUGAAUUUGCUAGCUCAAUGUGAGGAAAUGUUUUUCUCUCAUAAUAAAUAAGUUAUCUAUGUUGUCAAGAUGUUAUCUUUUUUUUACUUCUUGUUUCUUUUGCGUUACUUAUUUAAAAUCUAUAUAACGAUUAAAGCUUGGAUCCAUUUUUACCUAUGGAAGAAAUACUAAAGUAUCAAUACUUAUGGUCAUACGUCGAUAAUGUUGACGGUGGCCGAAAAGUUUGUAGAUGUGUUGGUUCAACUUCAUGGGCUUACAUGCUCUACCGUUAGUGAUUGGGAUUAGGUCUUUAUCAGCUUGUUUUGGAAACUGUUCGACACAAAUCUAGGUACAUUCACCGCGUGAAACCGACAAACCGACUAUCAAACUGAGGUCGUGAACCGGUGUUUUGUCCACCAUUGUCAGAAGCAAUGGUGUGGCCUUCUCCCUUGAGAUGACUUGUGUA